rnacentral:rRNA from 1 species
GACGAACGCUGGCGGCGUGCUUAACGCAUGCAAGUCGAACGGAAAGGCCCUGCUUUUGUGGGGUGCUCGAGUGGCGAACGGGUGAGUAACACGUGAGUAACCUGCCCUUGACUUUGGGAUAACUUCAGGAAACUGGGGCUAAUACCGGAUAGGAGCUCCUGCUGCAUGGUGGGGGUUGGAAAGUUUCGGCGGUUGGGGAUGGACUCGCGGCUUAUCAGCUUGUUGGUGGGGUAGUGGCUUACCAAGGCUUUGACGGGUAGCCGGCCUGAGAGGGUGACCGGCCACAUUGGGACUGAGAUACGGCACAGACUCCUACGGGAGGCAGCAGUGGGGAAUAUUGCACAAUGGGCGGAAGCAUGAUGCAGCAACGCCGCGUGCGGGAUGACGGCCUUCGGGUUGUAAACCGCUUUCGCCUGUGACGAAGCGUGAGUGACGGUAAUGGGUAAAGAAGCACCGGCUAACUACGUG